GUUUCUCGGAACCUCGACUGGGUAGCAUCAAUUUUUAUUUUUGGAGAAAAAACUUGUUAGUGUUUUUUCAAAAUUUUUACAAGUUAACUAUGUGAGCUGCGGGCCGAAACAAACCGGGGGCGAUUUGGUGGUACAAGCAGCAAAUGCUGACAGGAUUUGUUGCGGGACACUUGACACAUCAACACUACAAUCCAUGGGCCAUUAUUGAAGAACAACCUUAGGCACAGCACUCUUCACACAAAACUAAGGCCAGCUUAGGCCAUCAGAAGCAAAGUUGGACUUCUCCGAUGGGACCCGUCUCCACGUGGCACGUGGAACGUGGCACGUGUCUUGAGAUGAACGGAUAGCAUCCACACAUAAUUCAACCUGUUCUUGUCAGACGUUUAAAUGUUUUAAAAAUAUAGAAACUUCCAACAAUUU